AUUUUACUUCAUUAAAAACUACAAAACCAAUCUAUGUCAUAUACCAAAAUAUUUGAAAUAACUCUAUAUAUUUAUUGAAAAAUAAAGGAGGGGAAUGAUUGUCAUGAGAGCAGAGCUCAGACAUGUCUUCAUCAGCCUGGGAAAGAAAAUGAUGGAGGAGGAGGUGUAGACUGUUCUGGCAGGAAGUGAGGACAGCAAUUGCUGUAGCAACUCAGAGGCAUUUCUGAAGCACACCCCAAGCA
rnacentral:lncRNA from 1 species